CAGCAGCCACGGGAAUACGAGGGGGGCAAGCGUUGUUCGGAAUUAUUGGGCGUAAAGGGUGCGUAGGCGGUUUGAUAAGUCAUCUGUGAAAUCUAUGGGCUCAACCCAUAGUCUGCAGGCGAAACUGUCGGGCUUGAGAGUGGGAGAGGUGAGUGGAAUUUCCGGUGUAGCGGUGAAAUGCGUAGAUAUCGGAAGGAACACCUGUGGCGAAAGCGGCUCACUGGACCAUUUCUGACGCUGAUGCACGAAAGCUAGGGGAGCAAACAGGAUUAGAUACCCCAGUAGUCCCUGUCUCUUAUAC
rnacentral:rRNA from 1 species